AGGAAUGUGGAAUUCCGUUCUCAUCAGUCUACUGAACAAAACUGGGUAACACAACUGCAGAAUAAGUCCUAUGAUUUCCCUCUAAAUGAAGAUUUUCUUGGGAAGGGAGAGGAGGACUUUUGGAGAGAGCUCCAGAAGCUCUAUUUGGAACCUCUAGCUGAGGAUAAAGAAAAACAGAAGAAAAUCACAAAUGACCUAAAGGAACUGAGAAACAAGGUGACUUUUAUCUUUUUCAUCUGCAAUGCCAUGUGGCUGGUGGCAACGUUCAUUCUUCAGGCCAUUGGAUCCUCAGUCACCAUCAGAAUCCCAAAAUCCAAUCUCAAUCUGACUCAGACUAGGGAGUAUCUAUUUAUCGAUCCAAUAGGACUGAUGUUCCUUUUGGGAUUUGCAUCCUUACUGCUGAUCCAAUUCUUUGCCAUGUUCUACCACAGAAUUUACACUCUGAUCCAUUUUGUGGCAUUUGUGAACACGGAGUCCAAGACUGAGGGAAGACAACCAGGCGAUGACAUGCAG